AGUGAACGCUGGCGGCGUGCUUAACACAUGCAAGUCGAACGAGAACGGAAUAUAGCUUGCUAUAUUUGUCAGCUAAGUGGCGCACGGGUGAGUAAUGUAUAGAUAACCUUCCCUUAAGAAAGGAAUAACAGUUGGAAACGACUGCUAAUGCCCUAUAUGCCUUUAAUACAUAAGUAUGCAAGGGAAACGCUUUAGUGCUUAAGGAUGGGUCUGUAUGGUAUCAGCUUGUUGGUGAGGUAAUGGCUCACCAAUGCUAUGACGCCUAACUGGUUUGACAGGAUGAUCAGUCACACUGGAACGGAGACACGGUUCAGACGCCGACGGGAGGCAGCAGUGGGGAAUAUUGCACAAUGGACGAAAGUCUAAUGCAGCAACGCCGCGUGGAGGAUGACACAUUUCGGUGCGUAAACUCCUUUUAUAUAGGAAGAUAAUGACGGUACUAUAUGAAUAAGCACCGGCUAACUCCGUGCCAGCCGCCGCCGUAA
rnacentral:rRNA from 1 species